GGACGUAUAGCUCAGCGGAAGAGCACUCGGUUUACACCCGAGCGGUCGGGGGUUCAAAUCCCUCUGCGUCCA
rnacentral:tRNA from 1 species